rnacentral:rRNA from 1 species
AACGAACGCUGGCGGCAUGCCUAACACAUGCAAGUCGAACGAGACCUUCGGGUCUAGUGGCGCACGGGUGCGUAACGCGUGGGAACCUGCCCUUAGGUUCGGAAUAACUCCCCGAAAGGGGUGCUAAUACCGGAUAAUGUCUUCGGACCAAAGAUUUAUCGCCUUUGGAUGGGCCCGCGUUGGAUUAGCUAGUUGGUAGGGUAAAAGCCUACCAAGGCGACGAUCCAUAGCUGGUCUGAGAGGAUGAUCAGCCACACUGGGACUGAGACACGGCCCAGACUCCUACGGGAGGCAGCAGUGGGGAAUAUUGGACAAUGGGCGAAAGCCUGAUCCAGCAAUGCCGCGUGAGUGAUGAAGGCCUUAGGGUUGUAAAGCUCUUUCACCCGGGAUGAUAAUGACAGUACCGGGAGAAUAAGCUCCGGCUAACUCCGU